GAAACACGUGCCAAGGUCGAGGGCACGUCGCAGCUCUUGGGGACCAGCUCCCCAACACGCCGCCAUGAAAAAAGGUCGAGCUCCACCGUCCGGAGAGGCGGCAAAGAUCGGGCAGCAGCACGACCGCUUCUUCUGAACGGUGCCGUCGGGGUCGGACACUCAGGCAAUGAUGCUGGAACUUAGCUGCAAUCUUACAGUAAUUGGCGUAUGCAGAGAGGAGAAUCCAUAUCCCGCGACCUGUACAGGUGUAUGCUCAUCUCACUUGCUCUAAAAUUUUGCAAGUUUUUAGUAUAUUUAGCCACUCGCUCUCAUCGACAGGUGAUGUUUGGACGACCGGCAACGGUCCCUCUCACCGAUGACCGAUGGACGUUUAUUUCGAUGGAUUUGUCUCUUCGGACUUUCGGAGCACCAGGAAUUGCUGAUUUCUAAACCCUGAACCUGAUGGUAUUUAUCAUCAGAGAAAUAUAAAACCGAUGAAUAGUUUCAGAGCUUACUCCAAUGGCAUUAGCCUGUAGAACAAUUAGGAAAGUGUACGCUAAACAUAUCCAAAUGUGAAUUACCUUUUUCCUUUUUGAGUGAAUUUACAACCCAAAAUGAUAGGUCAGUGUAAAUAGACAAUGGAUUUUGACCAAUCUAUUUCAACACAACUUUAAAAUGGAUAUAGUAAAUCUUGCAUCUGAGAGAAACCAGAUUACAAGUAAGUUGAAUUUACAUAUUUCAAUCGGAAGCAAGCAAUUUACAGAUUUAUACCACCGGACUGUUACCACCUUCUGCAUUUUCACCUUUGUAUUUAGAAACAUGGCACGGUAAUGGUGGAUGGCCACAGCAAUCCAGAACAGAACAAGAGAGUGAUGAUUGAUGUACCACAGAUCAUUCAGUGCUGCAUUUACCAGGUGCUACUUUACAGAAAAAUGUGCAGUGAAAUGUCAUCUCAAUUUUCCCAUAGCCAAUGGAAUGCCCUCUGAAGUUUCUGAACAUUCAUGUGGUCAUGUAGAAUAGAACAUUAUAACCUAACCGAACAACGGGUGCUCUGGGCCAUACAAUUCCCUCUUCAAUCAAUCUUAUAGCCUAAAACUUUCGGAUUCCUCAUAAGAAGACUCCGUAGGGUUUUUCCAUUUAUUCCCCAGUCACUGUCCAAGUGUCCAGCUUGCUCACAUUCAGCUUUACCUCGCUUUCAAGAUCACACACACAGAACUUCUGGAAAUAUCUCCAGCAAGCUGGCUAACUGGGCUAGCCUGCUCCACGGAGGGCGCGGCAAGGCCGCGCCUGUAUUUCUAGUCUCAACGAAGCACAGAACAGAAGCCCCGAUCUCAUCCUCCGCGGACUCGUAGAUGGUGAGUGGCCGCAAAUCGAUGGGGAGUGUGGUAGGGCGGAGGGCGUUGUCUUUGUCAGCGCCUGAUUUUUCCUACUGGGUGCUCGAUUUGGCUUUUAUUUCCUGUUUAUUUCCCUUUCAAUUGUGGUGGAAUUGUUUCGUAGAUCUGUGCGAUUCUUGGUCUUUGUUUUCUUUUAUUAUUUGGAGAAUGAAAUGGAUACAUGUUCCAAUUGCA